AAAACAACAGAAGGGUCUGAACUCUGAAGAGGAAGAGAGAGAAAACGACUGUCCUCUGUAAAGAGAGAAAAAACUCCAGAUUAACUUGCAACUCCACUGCCAUUCUCGCCGUUGUUCUGCCACCGGAAUCGAGCUCCGAGAACGUCGUCACAUUAGCAGUGCUGAUUUCUGAGGAGAGAAAACCCUUGAAAAAGAAGAUCGCUGGAAAUUUUUUAAAGCUCGAAGGGACUUCCAACCGCCUCCAAUAAGAUCUUCGAUACCAGAAAAUUAGGGUUGAUGUUCUUCCCCAAUUUAUGCCUCGAAAAUCCAAAUCAGAAUUAAGCCCAUUUUGAAGUUAUUUCAUUGAUUGUCGGAAUCAUAAUAGAGAAUCGGUUGAUGGAGCGCGGGAACUUGAGCUGGGUACGAAGGUUUUGGAACAAUGGAGUUUUUUUGAGAUUGAAGAACACGGUGAAGAACUGAAGAAAAGGAGGGAGAUUGGAGAAAGGAAGGGGAAAAUCACGUCGUAUUGAUGUUGUAUUCCUUUUGUAUUCCUAAUGAUAUACGUAUUCUAUUUGCCAUAUCUUGCAUAGCCAACUCACUCUUUCUCUUACCUAGUCAUAUACUAUUGCCUAGUAAGAAACUAAUUUAUUUUUAUUUUUUAAUAAAAUAUUAUUAUUAUAUGCUA